rnacentral:rRNA from 1 species
GACGUAGGGGCCAGCGUUGUUCGGAAUUACUGGGUGUAAAGGGUUCGUAGGCGGUGCGGCAAGUCGGGAGUGAAAUCUCUGGCUCAACCCAGAGGCUGCUUCCGAAACUGCUGUGCUUGAGUGUGGGAGAGGCGCGUGGAAUUGCAGGUGUAGCGGUGAAAUGCGUAGAUAUCUGCAGGAACACCCGUGGCGAAAGCGGCGCGCUGGACCACUACUGACCGCUGAAGAACGAAGCUAGGGAGCAAACAGG